GGAGAUCUGUCCCUUUGUUUGCUGCUGCAUCCCAGGGCCUAGAACAUUCCUGACGUGUGCGGGCACUCAGAGGAAGCUCACCAAAUCAGUACACCAGGCAAAGAUUGUGGCUUUCCAGAGACAGGUCCUGCCUGUGAUCUUCCAAAUGGAAGGAGGAUCUUGGGCAUGCAUGAACACACGCCUGGCAUGAGUUUCAAGCGAGGAUGGGGUAAGGAUGGCCCACUCUGAAGGGCCAGUGUUGAGAACCCACAGCAGGGGCAUGCUGGAAGCCUGCACAGGACAGUCCGGACGAGAUGGCCGAGGGCAGCCUGGGCAGGAAGAGGA